rnacentral:rRNA from 1 species
UACGAAGGGGGCUAGCGUUGUUCGGAAUCACUGGGCGUAAAGGGCGCGUAGGCGGCCUGAUAAGUCGGGGGUGAAAGCCUGUGGCUCAACCACAGAAUUGCCUUCGAUACUGUUAGGCUUGAGACCGGAAGAGGUAAGUGGAACUGCGAGUGUAGAGGUGAAAUUCGUAGAUAUUCGCAAGAACACCAGUGGCGAAGGCGGCUUACUGGUCCGGUACUGACGCUGAGGUGCGAAAGCGUGGGGAGCAAACAGG